AUUGAACGCUGGCGGCAGGCCUAACACAUGCAAGUCGAACGGAGGGGCGGACGGGUGAGUAAUGUCUGGGAAACUGCCUGAUGGAGGGGGAUAACUACUGGAAACGGUAGCUAAUACCGCAUACUAUCAGAUGAGCCUAGGUCGGAUUAGCUAGUUGGUGGGGUAAAGGCCUACCAAGGCGACGAUCCGUAACUGGUCUGAGAGGAUGAUCAGUCACACUGGAACUGAGACACGGUCCAGAAUACUACGGUAGGCAGAAGUGGGUAAUAUUGGACAAUGGGCGCAAGCCUGAUCCAGCCAUGCCGCGUGUGUGAAGAAGGUCUUCGGAUUGUAAAGCACUUUAAGUUAGGAGGCGUUACCAACAGAAUAAGCACCGGCUAACUUCGUGCCAGCAGCCGCGGUAAUAC
rnacentral:rRNA from 1 species